GGAAGCUCCAUCGGUGUGCGUGAGCCAGGGACGAGAUAAACAAGGCGCACCCUCCCAAGACAGUGUGCCGCGGCGGCAAGGGGGAGGGGAGGGAUGACGAGAGAAACGAGCCUCUCCUCUCAGACCGUUCGCGCACAACACGCGCGACGGCUGCGACGCGAAAAGGGAAAACAGAGACGCGAGCAUGGCGGCGGCGACAACCAAUGGAGUUGGGGGGUAGCGCGGGGACGACUACGAUGAACUACGAGGGACGGCACUCCCCCGCUGAGCCUAAUCUCCAUCUGAAAAUGCGCCGGCGUGCCGCUGAUGUCUACAGUGUUCCAGGUACAGCACAUUCACAUGGUCCCGGGGUGCACGAGCACGAGCGACGCGAGAGACCCCUCGCUCCCUCUCGCGGGAGGCAGCGGCGCGGCGGCCAGGUCCAACAGGAUGGAGACGUUCGCAUCGACAGAACGCAGCGCCGAAAACGAAGCAAUGUCUCAGAUCCCACAGACGCUUGACAGGAGGAAGAGGAGAGCUUGGAAGAAAAAAACAAGUGACGAAAAAAUCGGG